GACGGAGGAUGCAAGUGUUAUUCGGAAUGAUUGGGCGUAAAGAGUCUGUAGGCUGUAUAGAAAGUCUUUUGUUAAAUGCCUCGGCUCAACCGAGAUCCAGCAAAGGAAACUUCUAUACUUGAGGGAAGUAGAGGUACAGGGAAUUCCCGGUGGAGCGGUGAAAUGCGUAGAUAUCGGGAGGAACACCAAUAUGGCGAAGGCACUGUACUGGGCUUUACCUGACGCUAAGAGACGAAAGCUAAAGUAGUGAUUAGGAUUAGAUACCCUAGUAAUUUUAGCCGUAAACGAUGGAAACUCACUGCCGAGCGAAAUACAACGAGCGGUGGUCAAGCUAACGCGUGAAGUUUCCC
rnacentral:rRNA from 1 species